GCCGCCUACGGGGCGCAGCAGUGGGGAAUAUUGCACAAUGGGGGAAACCCUGAUGCAGCAACGCCGCGUGAGUGAAGAAGGUUUUCGGAUUGUAAAGCUCUGUUAGCAGGGAAGAGGAAGGACGGUACCUGCAGAGGAAGCCCCGGCUAACUACGUGCCAGCAGCCGCGGUAAUACGUAGGGGGCAAGCGUUAUCCGGAUUUACUGGGUGUAAAGGGGGCGUAGACGGCAGCGCAAGUCUGGAGUGAAAUGCCGGGGCUCAACCCCGGAACUGCUUUGGCAACUGUGCAGCUAGAGUGCGGGAGG
rnacentral:rRNA from 1 species